rnacentral:rRNA from 1 species
AUUGAACGCUGGCGGCAGGCCUACCACAUGCAAGUAGAACGAGUGGCGGACGGGUGAGUAAUGUCUGGGAAACUGCCUGCUGGAGGGGGAUAACUACUGGAAACGGUAGCUAAUACCGCAUACCAUCGGAUUCGCCCCGCAGGGAUUAGCUAGUAGGUGGGGUAAUGGCUCUCCUAGGCGACGAUCCCUAGCUGGUCUGAGAGGAGGACAAGCCACACUGGAACUGGGACACGGUCCAGACUCCGACGGGAGGCAGCAGUGGGGAAUGUUGCACAAUGGGCGCAAGCCUGAUGCAGCCAUGCCGCGUGUAUGAAGAAGGCCUGCGGGUGGUAAAGUACUUUCAGCGGGGAGGCUUUACCCGCAGAAGAAGCACCGGCGAACUCGGUGCCAGCCGCCGCGGUAAUUC